GCUUGAAAGAGUAAAUUUGGAAAUUCCUGGAAAUGCCAGCACCGAACACAUCAUCCCGCCCAGUGGAGAUUGAAGCAAGGAAUUGCUUCACAAGACAUGCCAAUUUUUUGUUUUUUUCUUUUGUAAGGUUCGAUAGAACGAAAAUGGAUGCUUGAAUUUCACUCUACAAGACUGUUUAGGCCAGCUCGAGCAAGCAGAUCGAUCAUGCACAUAAAAAUGGUCUUGAACCGGCUGGAUCCCGAAGUCUAGCUGCAUGGACACGAAGAAGGAGCAGCCAUCUUCGUAUCGCCCUCCAUGGCUGCAAGAGAAGAUGACGCUCACGAACGUGAUCUCGUCUGGAUCAACACCUCGCAAGACCAUCGCCACGAACAGCUCCAGCGCCUCCCAGAAGCAGCCGUUUUUGGAGUACGAAGCCAUCAUCGUGUUCCAAGCGACGAGGUGGUUUGGAGCCGGGAUUUGCUCGAACACCUCUCGCGAUUCCUCCAGGUUCCCACACUUCGCAUAGAGAUUCAUGAGAGCGUUCCCGACAACGAUGUCCCGAUCCAAUCCGGCCUCCACAACCGCGGCGUGGAUCAUCCGUCCCUCCACGAUCGAUGGAAUGCUCGCACAGGCGUCUAGCACGCCCACGUAGCUGAAAUUAUCGGGAUGGAAGCCCUCCACCACCAUUCUCUUGAAGAAUUUGAGCGAUUCGACAUGGCCACCCUCGCCAGAGCUCGAAGAAGCGUACAUCGCGAUCAUGAUGUUCCACGAGUUGAGAUCCUGCGUGAUCAUGGCAUCGAACAUCUCCCUGGCUUUGGAGAGGCGCCUGUUCUGCGCGUAAGCCGUGACCAUCGCAUUCCACGACACAGUGUUCUUCACGGGCAUGUCUUGGGACACGGCCUCGGCAUCUGCAAGAUGCCCGUUCUGGGCAUACGCAGCAACCAUCGCCGUCCACGUCACUACAUUCUUCUCGGGCAUCUCCUGAAAGACUUGAAACGCUUCUUGGGCACUUCCACACUUCCCAUACAUGUCUACGAGCGCGGUCCCCAGCACGACGUCGCACUUGUAGUCUUCCCCGGAAGCGACGAUCGUGGAGUGGAUGAUCUUCGCUACUGCAUUUCCCGCAGGCGCAUCUAGAGCUUGGAUCACACUCAGAUAUGAUACCUUGUCCGGCCCAACUCCCUGGAAAUCCAUCUCUCGAAACAGCUCCAGCGCCUCUUGCAUAAGCCCAUUCUGGGCAAAUGCUGCUACCAUCGCGUUCUAGGCCACCACGUCUCGAACUGGCAUAUGGCGGAACAAUGAUCUUGCGUCGUCGAGGUUGCAGCUUUGCUCGCAAGCAACCAAAAUUGCCGUCCAGGAAAUGGCGUCCCAAAGAGGCAUCUUGCUGAACAGCGUACGUGUCUACUGCAACUGCCCGUUCUGGGCAAAUGCGGAGAUCAUCGUGUUGAGCGAGUAAAUGUUGGGUGUCUCGAUGCGCUCGAACGCGGCGAUGGCGUCGCCGAGUCUCCCACACUUUCCGUACAUCUGGAUGAGGUUGUUUCCCAGAUACGUAUCGUGGUCGUAGCCGGCGAGCGCCAUUCGUUCGUGGAGCCGGCGACCAUCUCCCAGUGCCUUGGCGCUGGCGCACCGCCGGAGGAGAGAUCCAAAUCUUCCCACAUCGAUCGCGUUCUUUCCAGAGUCGCGGAGGAGGAGCCCAUCGAUCGCCUGCUUGAGCUGCUCGCGCAAACUCUUGCCGCUUAAUCUGGGCGAUGCUGCUGCUGCUGCUGCUGCUGGAUGCUCGUCGUCGCAGCUUAAGUUCUUGCCCACCACUUUUCCUAAAUACCAAGUUUAAACUCCAUUGGUAAUAUUAGUCUUGCUUGAACUCUAUUGUCCACCAAAGUGUUAUGAUUAAUUGCAUAAUAAGUAGUAGUUCCAUGGUAAAGGUAAUAUAUAACUCUAGUACAUUAGUGUUUGGUAUUGAAUAAUAUCAUUUCUUCAAAUGCCAACUUAAAAGAUUUUAUAACUUGCCUCCAACCUUCAAGGAGGUAUUAAGAUUUUAAUAUAUAAAUAAUUUUGUUUUAUAGAUCACAAUCACUUGGAGUUUUUAGAGCUUGAGGCUUUGGAAGUUUUUACAAGGAGCUAGACCAUUCUUGAGCCCACAAGUUAAAAAGUUGAAUUUAUGAGUUAAGCUUGAUACAAACAUUAUAAGCUUUAACAUAUUAUGGCAAAUAUUUUCACAACUCUCUGAAUAUUAUAUAAAUAUAAAGGAAUACAUAUAUUGAUGGAGCUAUUUGUUUGUAAAUUAUAAAAGAAGUAAAUUUAGGUGGACUUAAAUAAUUAAAAGAAUUAUAUAAGCCACUCCAUGAAUGUAAGCCCUUCAUAUAAUAUUAAUUUUAAAUAACUAUUCCAAAAAUAUUUUGGAGUAUUAGAAAAAAUGACAUUGUGAGUAACAAACAAUUAAAUAUUUGUUUUAUGAAGACGUAAACAUAUUGAGAAACAGUGAGGUUGGCAUUAUAAAUAUCUCAAUUUGUUAUAAUCUGGACCAUCCAAUAUUUGUAUAAGUAUGUUAGUAUUCCUUUAAAAAAUGUAUCAUGUCUUUAGGCAUUAUAUUAAUGUUUUUAUUUAGAUUAAUUAAUGCUCCUGAGGUUGGCUUUCGACCAGAAGAUACAGAUUAUAUAAAUUCAAAUACUACAAAUAGGAUUAUAUCAGCUCUGCUUUUAAUGGUAAGAGCUAAAAUUCCUCCUCAUGCAGCAGUACCACUAGGUCAAGGUAUCAAAGCUGAGGUAAUUCUACCAGAUGAAAUAUAUGGUAAAAUAAGUGUGAAUGUACAAAUAUGGCUUUAUAGCCAUGAAAGAGGGAAAAGUUUCAGGCAUUGUUCUGCUUAUCCUACUGGAGAGAAUGGUAAUACUACUGCCAUUAUAUUAGAUUUACUUUACUUAUUAAUGUAUUACCGUCCUAUUCUUAUAUCUUUAGGAUCUAGAUUAAUUGCUUUAACAUCAGGGAUCUAUGGUAUUUACUAUUGGGUUAGAAAUGUACCUCCAGCAAGGCAACCUAGCUCUAGAACAUCAAAUCAAUUUAUUAAUACAUCAAAUAAAAUUAACAAUUUUAAUGAUUGUCAUAUUUCCUUGAAUACAUUAAUUAGCUCUACAAUUCAUAAUAUUUUAUUAGAAUUCCAAUUUAUAACAUCUCCAAAUCAAAAAGCAUACUUAUAUUUGCAUCCUAAUUGCAAAUUAGAAUUAUAUAUUGGAAAUAAAUCAAAGUGGUUUAAAUCAGGAAAUUAUAUAAAAUGUUAUCUUGUAUUACAGGAUGAUGGAAAUCUAGUUUUAUAUAGCAUAAACAACAAAAUUGUGUGGUCACCAAAUGAAUAUUGUUAUCCCCAACCAAAUUGUGUGAUGAACUCAUAUCUUUCAUUACAAAACAAUUGUAAUUUAGUUUUGUACCAAAAUAUACAAGAUACGUUUUCUAAAGUACCAAGAGUUCAAAUCCUUUGGUCAACUGAUACUUUUUGUAAUUAAGAAACAUUAAUAUAGAUGUAUUAUUUAUCCCAAUCUUCUACUUCAUUCCAAUGUCUGUGUCUGUGGUACACAAAGUAAUGCUUGAAAGAGUAAAUUUGGAAAUUCCUGGAAAUGCCAGCACCGAACACAUCAUCCCGCCCAGUGGAGAUUGAAGCAAGGAAUUGCUUCACAAGACAUGACAAUUUUUUGUUUUUUUCUUUUGUAAGGUUCGAUAGAACGAAAAUGGAUGCUUGAAUUUCACUCUACAAGACUGUUUAGUUGUUCCGUGAAAUCAAUUUGAUCAAGCUGCUCCUUGGCCCGG
rnacentral:lncRNA from 1 species